UUACGGCCAUAUCAUGUUGAAACACCGGUUUCCGUAUGAUCAUCAAAGUUAAUCGACAUCGAGCCAAGUCAGUACCUAGAUGUGUGACCGCGUUGGAAUACCAGCUUCUGUA